rnacentral:lncRNA from 1 species
GGUGCGAUGCUAGGUUGCAAUCUUCGGUUGGCGACAUAAUAAUAUAUUGUUGACCAUGACUAUAAACUUCAGAGAUCAAUCGGUUGGUUAACAUAAUACCAAAGCUCAAGUUUAUUAGAGGCUAUAAGUUAUAAAUUCUGGGGAUUACUUGGAUAGUUAAUAUGAUAUCAAAGCACAGGUUUAUUAGAGGUUAUAAGUUUGAAUCCCUUUAUUUCAAUCAUUUUUUUCAUUAUUAUUUGUUAUCUAUUAUCUCAGACUCCAUAUGAAGAGGCUUAUUAAGCCUG